rfam:Triticum aestivum genome assembly, contig: Triticum_aestivum_CS42_TGACv1_scaffold_220782_3B
AUAGUACUCCCUCCGUCCUAAAAUUUUUGUCUUAGAUUUGUCUAGAUAUAAAUGUAUCAAGUCACGUUUUAGUAUUAGAUACAUCCGUAUCUAGACAAAUGUAAGACAAGAAUUUUGGGACGGAGAGAGUAUAUU